GCUCACCACAGGAUGUUUUGAAUGUGAAAACAUGGAUGAUGAUUUCAAGACUUGCUGCUAUCGAAUACAGAUCGCCCCGUGAUCAAUUUAAUAGAUUAUUAACGUUUAUUAAUACCUAAAGUUGGUUUAGAAAAGUAAUUUGAAGUGAUUUGUAAAAGUAUAUAGGCAACUUUUGUAAUUUUAAAAAGUGACGUUGCGUCUUGUAAAGGGGCAUUUUUCUGGAUCAGACCGGUCUUCAGCAAAUCACAUUUUGGGUAUACAAUGACGGAUUUAAUCGGGAAAAAGACCCAAUUGUGAUGUUUAAGUGACAUAUAGGAGUGCCAAGAAAGAAGCUUGUCAAAGAGAAUCUUUGAGUUGGAUGCCAUGGCUGACCCACAGGAGUACAUCUUCAUCGACGACACAGGGUUCAACCUAACAAAAAGGCGCAAAAGGAGACGCAACAUUAUUGGUCACCGUGCUGUCAUACAAGAUCCUUGCCAGAGGGGAGGCAAUGUCACCCUAUGUGCAGCCAUCAACAAUCAUGGCAUCCUCCACCGCCAUGUCAAUGUGGGUCCAUACAACACGGCACAACUCCUUCAAUUUCUAGAUCAGCUGCACAAUAACAUUAUUCAACAGAAAGGGGAGCAAGGGCAACCAAAGCAAGCCCAAUAUGCUGUCAUUUGGGAUGACGUGAGUUUCCACUUGGCCUCUCUGGUUUGCGCCUGGUUCAAUGACCACCCCAGGUUCACCAUUCUUUUUUUGCCAGCAUAUUCCCCAUUUCUGAAUCGCAUGGCGGUGCAGAGUGUAUGACCGCAACCCCUAUGCACAGCAAAACCUCCUGGAGGCAAUGGUGGACGCCCGAGGUGAUGUCUCUGUGGAGUCUAUCCAGGGUUUUCUAAGGCACACAAGGUCAUUUUUCCCACGCUGCCUGGCAAAAAAGAGCAAACAAUGUGUGACGUUGAUGAGAUAUUAUGGCCUGACCCAGACUUGAGGCGAGAUGAUGAGGACGCUGAUGAUGCUGAGUAACCUGUAC
ensembl:lncRNA